UCACUUGCCGAUGCGUUCUUUUCGCCCCAAGGGCCUUUGGCAUGGAAGAAUGCACAGAAACUAUUCCAGAAACAGAGAGAAAUCCCACAGCCUUCUCUCUCAGCACCCCAUCGUAUAGAUCCCUUUUCAACUUUUCCAGAAUUUCAUCGCAUGAAACUCUGGAGAAAACAUGAGCGUCAUAGAUAUUAUCUUCCGAGUCGAUUCGAUAUGCCAGAAAUACGACAAAUAUGACAUCGACAAGCAGCGGGAGCUCAAUGCCUACGGUGAUGAUGCCUUUGCUCGCCUCUACGCUGCCUUCGAGAAUAACAUCCAUGCCGCCCUCAAUAAAUCGGAGAUUGCUUCUAAUGAGAAGAACAGGGCAGCUGCAGCAGCAUUGAAUGCGGAAGUUCGUCGAACUAAAGCUGGACUAAUGGAAGAAGUCCCCAAGCUUCGGAAACUAGCGCAGAAGAAGGUAAAGGGCCUUACAAGUGAAGAAAUGGCCAUUCGGAAUGAUAUGGUUCUGGCAUUGCCGGAAAGGAUCCAAGCAAUACCAGAUGGUAUCGCUGCUGCAGCAAAUCAAGCUGGAGGAGGGGUUUCUCCCUCAUCUCAUCAAAAUAUUAAGUUUGAUUCAUCAGAAGGAUACAACGAAGACCUAUAUUACCAACAAACUGAAGAAUCAAAUCAGUUUAGAUCAGAGUUUGAGAUGCGAAAAAUGAAACAGGAUGAAGGGCUUGAUAUCAUAUCAGAAGGAUUGGAUACGUUGAAGAAUUUGGCCCUUGAUAUGAAUGAGGAAUUGGAUCGGCAAGUUCCACUAAUGGAUGAAAUUGGUACAAAGGUUGAUAAGGCCACAUCCGAGCUCAGAAAUAAUAACGUGAGGCUGAAGAAAACUCUCAACCAGGUGAGGUCUAGUCGAAAUUUUUGCAUUGACAUCAUUCUGCUGUGUGUUCUCCUUGGCAUUGUUUCCUACAUAUACAAUGUACUGAGGCAGUGACUUGAUCAGGAAUGCUUCCGCGUUUUGCACGUUGGCAUUACAUUCAUAGAUUGUCUGGAACUUUCUGUGUGAGUAUUUUUCAACAAGAGAGAAUGGUGUUGGGAUUGUAAGGUUUCUUUUCUUGCUAGCAAUCGACUGUAUCUAACCGAAAUAUAUAAACUAGGAAUUAAUGAUUAAAGCUUGUCCUUAGCUGUUGCUGUCAUUGUUUCUGUGAAGUUAAACAACACUACCAAUUAUAUAUGAACCUGAUUAUUCAGAGUUGAUACCGUGCCACAAGCAUUUCCUAAUUAAAACUGAAGUGAUACAAGAUGUCAGCUUAACGACAUUGAGCAGGAAUCUUGCAGACAAUAAAUAGUGAAGCAAAAGUAACAGAUUUAAUUAGAUUUCAGAGAAAGCGAUGGAACCCAGGUUAUGAAGCAGUUAUGGAUGAUUAUGAGCCACUUUGUUCCAAUCGAUUGAGGUUGUCGUGUUGCGCGGAUGAAGGCAUGGGAUCCUACUUGCUGCGGCUUGCAUGCGUAUGGGCUCAACAAUUCUAAGCAUGCUUC